rnacentral:lncRNA from 1 species
UCGAUGGUCAACGAAACGAAUGAAACGAAGAGUAGUCGUGGAGGACGGACGCUGUAAGUGGCAGAAUCGAAGGAUUUCGAUGGUUCUAUCGUCAACCCAAUAAUAUCUUCGAUAAUCCGUAAGCAUCGUCCAACGUGUACCCACGCGGUUGAAAGUCUACAAAGUGAAAAACUUGGUGACGAUUGCGAGUCACAGACUGGGAGUCAGUGAAUCGAUUGAAGAGAAGAGGAGGGAGGUGUAUCGAUAUCGGGGGAAACCAUAAGUCGAGCGAGAAAACGAGAAGCUCCAUCGGGUCUUUUUUACCCCUCCAAUUCGCCUCACGCGCCCUUUAGUCACGUGUGGCCGUGGAACAAGAAAGAAAAAAGGAAGAAAGGAGACGUUUUAAUAAUAGUAAUAAACGACACCAGAGAUAGGGUGGCUCUCGGUUUCCUUCUUCGCUGCGAGAUCGAUGACCGUUUCGUGGGACAUCGUAAAUUUAUGUGCGGCCAUAGGGGAAUCCCUGGUGAACGUGCACUUUUCAAGCCAAAUAAGCAGUCAUCAGAAUGCAGAGAGCUAACUUGUCGCCUUCGAGGAGACAUGGAUGAACCGCUAAAAUAUCGUGUUGAUAGCGAGAGACGAAGGUAAAACGAAGUGCAGGAGCAGACUCGUUCAUCGCCUGGAGUUGCUGCUCGAAUCGAGGCUCGAUUUCUCGUCGACGGGAGAAGAGUGUGGCGUUCCUCGUUGCUGGCACAGCCAAACCACCCACUCACACUAGAAAGGUAGGAAGGAACGACGACGUUAGCACGUCGCAACAGCCGAGUAACUGCAACGUAGCGCCGCAAUCGGAUCGGUAAUUAAACCGGCGAACCGGGUAUCCCCGGCAAACUGCAAAGCUUUUCCGGCUGGAUGCCCAUGGUCGGAUGUAGGAAAAACAAAAAGGAAUCUAUUCCAUUACACCGUCUGUUUGAUGCUGGCUGGCUGUCCGCGCUAAAUCGAUCCCUUUGCUCCUUAGCCGUGUUCAUCCAAGUUUCCAAGGAUCGAAUGAGACCUUGCCUCGUGUUUGGCCACAUUCUCCCCUUUUUUAGAUAUUUUGACUUUGGUGAUACGAUUUUCUGUAAAUGGUUUCGUUUAGCAAUUAUUUCCCGAUAAAUGGCUGUAUACGAAGCGGACGAUUAAAAAAGAUAAGACCUGUUGUAUCGGUAGUUUAUCGAACGAUUAUCAUUCAUCGGUAACAGAUGAACUUUCAUUUAGAUGGUUGAAAGAAGAAUUAUAAGAGAUUGAGAAGCACUUUAAAGCGUAGUCUGAAUUCGCACUCAACAAGAACAGACUCUCUAAAUCUCUAGUCUACACUAUUCUAAAAUAUCAAUUUUAUUUUUGAUCUAUCCACUUUAAGUAUCUUCAUACAGCGAAUUAGUGCAAAUUAAGUGUAUAAAAUGUGUAAAAGGGUAGAGGCAAAAAUAUGAAUCGAUCGAGAUGAUUUAAAGAUGGUGGCCAAAGAUGAACUUUGAGGUUAGGUGUGCUCCACCAUCUUUUUCGCGAAUAGUUCUUUUUUAAAGAAUAUUAUUCUACUCCUUCGUAUGAUAAAUAUGUAUCGAUAAUAAAAGAAGGGAAAUAAAUUGUGGCAAUAAAUAUGAUUAAUAGCGGACUUAAUGUAACCGAGUAGAAAAGGCGGAUUUUCAUGAGUGGUAGUGAAUGAUAUUUCACAGUUCUGAUUCGUUUUAAUGCAUCGUGACAAUGGUAUACGCGUUUACAAUAGAGUACGACCGUGGGGAGAAUAGCCAGGAAAGCACAAAGGAAGCCACGGAAUCACGUUGACGAAACGAGUAGGCUCGCUAUAUGGAUGGCACGGACGAGUGGUCGAGCAGAGUUUGAUUCCAAGUCCGUCACUAUCUAUCUCUUUUUCACUGGCAUUAUCAUAUACUUAAUCUAUAAGCUUAACCUGUCCGAUGAUGGAUGGAAAGUCUAAUUACGAUCGUGUCAUUCGCACGGAACGUUGCAACUAGCAAUGGUACCACUUUCGUUCAUUCACCGUGAGGCGCUAUCUAUGCGAACAUGGUAAUCACGAGAGUCACUCAAACGGCAGAUAUCGAUCUGUAGAUCUAAUUAUACAGUGUACCUAUAUAUACUACAACUAAAAAUUAUAUGAACAGUACAUGUUACUAAUGUAUGA